rnacentral:lncRNA from 10 species
UUGGUAACGUAGGUAGCUAACAUUAUAGUUCCUUAUACUAACAUUACUUUUUGCAAGGAAAAAAAAAGUCUGGCAAUACCUAAUGGUGCAGUGGAUGUAAGAUAUAUAUCUCUUAUAUGUUUUUCAUUAGAGUGUAAAUUGGACAGGCAAUUUGGAAAGCUUUUGCCAUUAAUUUGUAAAGUUAUUUUGUAAAGAAUGUCACAUAUCUUUGGACUUGGCACUUCCUAUCCCAGUAAGGUGUCAUGCACACCUGGAAACAUGUAGAAAAAGGUUUUAGCGUUUUUCAUAAUAGCAAAUAGUUUAUACAAAUUAAAUGUGGCACAUUUAUACAAUACAAUAUUAGAUAAGCCAAAUGAGUGGAUUACAGUAUUGCAGUAAUAUGUAUAAAUCUUAGCAAGAUAACACUGAAUGGGAAAUAGGUUUCCAGAGAUGACAUACAGAGUUGUAAAGUUAAAAAAAUAUAUACUUUUUAGGAAUACACAUAGAUGUGAUAAGAGUAUUACAAUCAUCCAACAAAAUUCAGGAUAGUGAUUGACAUAGUUUGAGGAGGGAGGAGGAUAGGACAAAGAGCUACAUUCGUAGAAUGUUCUAUAUACAUAGAAAUUUUUGACAAAAUUCUAGUUCCAUGUUGGAUGAUAGGUUCAUGGUCAUUAUUAAACUAUUCAAUAAAAAUAAACAAAUAUAUACAUACAAGAGAGACUUGCAUGGACUAAUGACAAGAAUGUGUCAUGAACCAAAUAUGUGUCUGUUCCUGUUCUAUAUAAAAUAAAGUCACUUCUUUGGGCUAAGCUUCUGUGUAUCUAGAAACUUCUAUUAAACACUAAAUAUCUAAUCUGAGGAUUAGUCACCAAGCCAUUAUCAUUCCCUUAACACAAAAGUGUAUGUAAGCUAGAAUAUUCUAGCACAGAGUAAGAUACUAAGAGUGAGACACUAUACAAAGUUUGAUGAGGAAAAAGAAUGGAAAGGUUCGGAGCUUGGGAAGAUCCCGUAAGAAGGUGAAGGGGUGAACUUCUGUGUGUAGGAAGGAGAGGAGGGGAGCAUCGAGUGUUAGUGAGAUUUUUAAAGCCAUGCAGGAUUCCUUUGCCUUUGUUUCCGAUCUAAACCUCACCCUCUCUCGGUGCAUUUAGUAUCUCAGUUACUUACUUACUUACUGAAUGCGGGAGUUCACAAUCUAAACAAACAUAACCAGAAGAUUGCAGGAUUUUAUUUAAAUUAUUGAGCAAUUAUUAGGACUCUUAAUUUGAUUUACAACAUUUAGGAAAGAAAAUAGAUGAAAGUAACAUAUUCCACACAGAAAAUAUUACUCAAGUUUGUUAACAAUAAUCCUUUUCUUUUUUGCUUCUGGAAAGAUGGAGGAAGACAUUUACAUGUUUAUCUGUGAAUUUUAAUUUAAAUAAUUAGUCCUAAAAUUAAGAAAAAAAUUGCAUUGGGACAAACUUUCUCUUCCUCUUUAUAAACCAAAGAGAAACUCUCUUCAUAAAAUUAAUAUUCUCAUACUUUCUUGUGAGUACUUUUGUCCUUUCUUUUCAUGUAUUACUCUAAUAAGUAGGAAAUAGUUUACUCUCCAAUAAGUAUCCCAGCCACAUAUAGAUUUUGUUUUCUCUAUAUUAAAUAAAAAAUUUAAAGAACCAUAUAUAACUUUAAAAAGAACAAAGACCAAUCACACAAAAUAAAACAAACAAACCAAAAACACUCCAUCAAAACUUGCUGUUUUGAAACAGUCUUAAACCAUAUUCACUUUAAAGAAGUAAAAAUGUCAGUAUAAGUUAACACAUAGUCUGUGUUUGGGUCAGUUUAUAAUAGUGAUGAUUUUGUAAAGCCUUUGAGAAUUUGGCUUCUUUUUGCAGCAAGACUGUGUGUCAAGUAUAAUGUCCCUCUUAGACCUGUAGGAAUUUCAACAAAAGGAUGAAAUCCCUUCACUUGUUGCACUUUAUUCUCUUGUCACAGUUAAAGCAAUAUUUAUUUUCCUCCUCCUUGCUUCUUGCAGGCCUGUAGUAAAUCAAAAAAGUAAACUCUCAGGUUCAUUGUGUAAGGGGCUUACUUCUAGGCUUCUACAGUUGCCACAGUAACUAAUUAGAAAUUUGCAUCUCUAAGAGAAUUAUUUAAUGCUGAUGUGUAAGCCCUUUUAUUCUUUGGAGCUUGGCCUUUUGCUAGGAAGCUUCUGGUAGGUGUUGGGCCUCGAGGUCAUACUGUACAAGCUCUGAACGUAGGUGGCCCUGGUUUGCCCUUUUUAUCUGGAUGAUUCAUGCCCAGUGGAGAAAAUGUCUUGCCAGGUCUUUGUUGAAUGGUGGGCAUCUGAAAGGCAGUACUUGAUUCAUUUAGGCGCCAUUUGUUUUAACCUGUAACUUCUUCCCCAUUGAUUUAGGCGCCAUUUGUUUUAACCUGUAACUUCUUCCCCAUUGCUCAUUAGCUAACUCUUAUGUAAUUGAGUCAUGCAUGUUAAAACGGUAGAGUUGAGUUAUGCCAACCAACCCAUUGAGAGGAAUCCCUCAUUAAUAUGGUUGUGAGGCCUAAGAAGUUGAUGUUGCCAAAAUGCAAAAUGUUUUGUAGACUUGGACAUUGUGUAAUAGCAAUAUGAAGAUGAACAUUUUUCCUGAAGAGCUGUUUGUUUUCUGAGGUUUAAACCUAUGUUCCCUUAGUGCACAAAGAAGACAGAGACAAAAGGGAAGGGACUGAAGACUCCCGGGCAACUUGUCCUGAAACAGAGAAGACACUGACUGCCAUCCUGUGCUGCCAGUACAGCCUGGGAGAUCAGAUCAGGGCCAAAAGGAGAUAAAAUGGAUACGUGAAUUUAGUCAUCACCAAUCCCUGAAACAUUACCCCUUCUAAAGUGGAGGAGCUCCUAAGUUUACUAUAGCCAGAAGACAAAAUAAACAUAUAUUCAAGAGGAUGACCAAACCUGAAGUCAAGAAUAGAUUCAACAUACCCAUGUUCAUUGAAGCAUUAGUCACAAUAGCCUAAGGAUGGAUGCAACCCAAGUGUUCAUUGUUGGAUGGACAGGUAAACAAAAUGUGGUAUAGACAUACAAUGGAAUAUUUUUCAACAUUAAAAAGGAAGGAAAUUCUGACAUGCUACAACAUAGAUGAACCUUGAGGACAUUAUGUUGAGUGAAAUAAACCAGUCACACACAGAUUAAUACCUUAUGAUUUCACCUACAUGAGGUACCUAAAGCAGUCCAACUGAUAGAAAUCAAAAGUAGCAGAUUCAUAGAAACAAAAAGUAGUAUGGUGACUGUCACAGGCUGGGAGGAGGAGGGGAUGAGAAGUUGUUUAAUGGGCAUAGAGUUUCAGUUUUACAAGAUAAAACACACUGGAGAUUGGUUGCAUAACAAUGUAAAUGUACUGAACAUGAUUAAACUAUACACGUAAAAUAGUUAAGAUAGUAAAUUUUGUUAUGUAUAUUUUAACACAACUUAAAAAAAUGGUAGACUUAGAGGAAAGGUAGGCAUAGCCCCCCUUUGAAGAAAAUAAAAGAAAGGUAUUCACGUAUACAACCUCCAAAGAGAAACAGACCAGGUUUGCUAAAUGUGAAAGGAAGCAGAACAGGUCUGGCAAAAUGCUAGCUUUUCCUGUUGUCAGGUGAGAAGGACACCCUGCUGGUGGAAGCACCAAACCCGGGUCCCCUGCUGUCACUGCCCUGCCAUACCACCUGCACAUCUGCAAAAAUGAAUAUUUAAAAUAUAAUCCCACACAUGUUCUGGAGGCAGGAGACUUAAUCCUCUAGUUAAUCAUUGUUUUUGAAAAAGCUUUGGUCAGAUAAAACAUUUGUGCCCUUUUCUUUUCUUUUUCUUUUUCUUUUUUUUUUUUGGUAAAGAUUUUUUUAUUUCUACUGGGGAGGGAGGAGGAUGAAUAGAACUGUUUUCCAAUUUACUCUUGCACUGUAUACACACAUACCCACACACAUACAUAAACAUACAUACACCAAAAAUACCCCAAACAAAAAACAAAAACACCAGGAAUCAAAACCCAAAGCACCCUUAAACUGCACCAAUACUUCCUAUUUUGACCAAAAAAAAUCCUGGGAGGUAGUACAAAAUGCAAAAUUAGAUGACUGAAAAAUCCUGAACAAACAGCAUUAUUAAUAUACAAAAUAGUUUUAUUACUGAACUAGUAACAGGUGAUGUUCUCCGUGUUUGUAAAACUUUGGAAUCACGUAGCUGAUUUGUUAAAUCUAGUCCAUGCCAGCUUCCAAAAACCAAAAUUUUAUUUAGCUUCAUUCUUUGAUGCCUUAUCAGAUUUUUCUACAGGAU